rnacentral:rRNA from 1 species
UACGUAGGGGGCAAGCGUUGUCCGGAGUUACUGGGCGUAAAGCGCACGCAGGCGGUCGAUUAAGUUUGGAGUGACAGUUGGUGGCUUAACUGCCAAAGUGCUUUGAAAACUGAUCGACUUGAGGGCUUCAGAGGGACACGGAAUUCCGGGUGGAGUGGUGAAAUGCGUAGAGAUCCGGAGGAACACCGAAGGCGAAGGCAGUGUCCUGGGGAGUACCUGACGCUCGAGGUGCGAAAGCCAGGGGAGCGAACGGG